UUAUUUUAUUGCUGAUAUCUAUUUGUACUAUUAAAUAAACGAUAAAAAUGUUGCAAAUCACUACUGCCGAUAUGAAAAUUUCCGAAAGAAUCCUUCUUUUCUUGGUUCCAUUUUUCAUUGGCAGGUGUCGCUACCGGUAAAUCAGCUUUGCGACAAUGCGUCAAUUGCUGCCAGCAAGACAUACUUGCUGGCUGAAGAUUUUUUUCAGAUUUACGGAUUUUGGCAACCCUGUUUGCAGAUAUUUGAAAUUUUCACCUGGCAUCUCUGUUCGUUUUGAAUGCGAAGCUUCCAUUUCCGUCGUAGAUUCUGAGCUUGAAACGUGUGUCGCUAAAUUUUCCGGUGUUUUAUUCUACAGCGUCCAUCAUUGAAAACAUGCAGCCGUUCAAUUAUUGUCCAUCUUGUGGUUACCAUAUUGGUCCAUACGUUACCAAAGCGCAUCAUUAUCAGAGAGGUCGUGGCCGUGGUGGUCGCCGUGACCGCUGGCAUGCUUCAUCAAAUCCUCUUCCAGCACCGGUGGCUUUUGAAUCACCGGUAUCGAUUGAUGAACCAUCAUCCACGGCCAAGAAGGAGGUAAUUUCGGAAAUGUAUUCGAAAUAAGGAGAAUGUGUACAUCUUCGUUGUGCCUAACGAAUGAGUGAAUAAAUUCAUUGAAAUAAA